UUGGAGGUAGCAGGAAAACCAGGAUCAUACUUUAUGGAUGUGGACUUUUGGGACAAUGAUGCUGGUUUUUCUACUGGGGCUUAUUCUGCGAGGAAUGGUGACAUCUAUAUUUUGUCUAGCGUAAAACCUGAAGCUGCAGAGGACUUAAACCGCCAUGGUGUGACAUAUUGCUUGGCAAUGGUCACUGAGGUUUCUAUGGAUGAUGAAUACCAGAAGGGCUUCAGAGUCAAAGUUGCAAAGAAUAAUUGUUUGGAAGAAGAAGAUUUAAACAAACUCAAGCAUGCAAUAUUUCUCAAUAAUAUCACGACAAACACACGGAUAUGGAAAGCACUUACCUUCGAUACACACAUGAACGAAAAUUUCACAGUAAUCAAGUUGCUUUUAGCCCCCACAAAUCUGGGUGAGGAUGUUUGCCGUAUGUGUGCUAAACAGGAUGGGGGCUGUUUGGCUUCUUACACAGAGCAACUACUGUCAGUUAAGCUUAAUCAAUCGCAAUUAGAUGCUAUUGAAUCUGUCAUCUCAGCUGUACGAUGUGGGCAUGUGAACCGCGUGAAGCUUAUAUGGGGUCCACCAGGCACUGGGAAGACCAAGACGGUUAGCGCUUUACUGUGGGUUUUGGCGUGUUUGAAAGGCAGAACUCUUACCUGUGCUUCCACAAAUGUUGCUGUUGUUGGAGUUUGCACUCGUUUCCUUCAGAACUUGAAGGAUUUCAAUGAGCACAUUGACAACAUUUGUCUACCUUCUUCUCUUGGAGAUAUCUUGCUAUUUGGGAACAGGUCUAACAUGGACAUCACCGAGGAUCUUCAGGAAGUUUUCUUGGACUUUCGUGUCGAUGAACUUGUGGAAUGCUUUUCAUCAUUGUCCGGAUGGAACUACAGAAUAGCUUCAAUGAUAUCCUUUUUUGAAGACUCUGCUUCACGGUAUGAUAUGCUUCUUGAGGAUGAUGGCAAAAUUGAUCCAGUGUGCUUUCUGGACUUCAUAAAGAAACAAUUUGAUGCGACAGCAAUAGCUCUGAAAAGAUGCAUAAUGAAUUUGUGGGUUCACCUUCCUGGAAGGUGCUUUUCUCGUGAUAGUGUCAUAAAUAUAUCUUCAUUGCUGAAUAUGCUGGAAAAUUUUGGACUUCUGUGCAACGUAGACUUGACCGAAGAGGGUUUGAAAAGGGGCCUUGGUUACCUGUCAACUGAAAACUCUGUUUGUGCACAGCCUAUAUCUUCUGUUGAGAAGGAACUGGACGGAGCAAGGUCUUCAUGCCUUAAGUUGCUUAAAGAUCUGCUACACUCGCUUAAUUUACCCACUGGAGUAGGCAAAGACUGGGUCCAGAGCUACUGCAUACGUAAUGCAACACUUCUUUUCUGUACCGCCUCUAGCUCUUAUCGGUUACAUCACAUGGAGAUUGCACCCCUCGAUGUAUUAAUUGUUGAUGAGGCUGCUCAAGUGCGGGAGUGUGAAUUGGUGCCACUACGUCUGCAUUGGUUAAAACAUGUUGUUUUGGUAGGAGAUGACUGUCAGCUGAGUGCAAUGGUUAAAAGCAAAGUAUGCAAAGAAGCUGGAUUUGAGACAAGUCUAUUUGGGAGAUUGGUUAUGCUCAAAUUUGAUAAACAUUUGCUGAAUAUACAGUAUCGCAUGAAUCCUUGUAUCAGCUUAUUUCCAAAUACUCAGUUUUAUGGGAGGAAGAUUUUAGAUGGUUCCAAUGUCCUGUCUCCAAGUUAUAACAAGGAUUACACAUGCCUCCCUUUUGGCAGCUACACGUUUAUAAAUGUCACUGAUGGAAGGGAAGACAAAGAGGGCACAGGAAACAGUCGCAGAAACAUGGUUGAAGUUGCUGUUGUUUUGCACCUAAUCCAUACCAUCUUUAAAUCUUGGAAAAGAACAGAUCAAGGGCUCAGCAUCGGUGUGGUCUCUCCAUAUAAAGCUCAAGUUGAUGCAAUUAAAAGUCGGCUUGGCAAAAAAUAUGAUACAUGUGAUGGCUUUCAUGUGCGGGUGAAGUCCGUUGAUGGUUUCCAAGGAGAAGAGGAUGAUAUAAUAAUACUAUCAACUGUUAGAUCCAAUGGGAGAGGAGUUGUUGGAUUUCUUGCUGAUAACCAAAGAACAAAUGUUGCUCUUACUAGAGCAAGGCACUGUCUUUGGAUUGUUGGGAACGCUCAUACACUAUAUAAAAGUGGGACCGAAUGGACAGACCUUGUUGCUGACGCAGAGAGACGUAAAUGUGUUUUCAGUGCCACUAAUGACGCAACCAUGUGUAAGUUGGUUGUGCAAGUAAAGCAAGAGCUUGAUGAACUUGACGAUCUUCUUAAUGCUGAUUCAGCAGUUUUCAGCAAUACUAGAUGGAAGGUCAUUCUUAGCGACGAGUUUAGAAAGUCUUUCACCAAACUAAAAUCACCACAGCUCAGGAAGGAAGUACUCCAAAAGCUUAUCAGACUCGGAGAUGGUUGGAGGACAACAGUUAAGAACAUUGAUAUACCUGGUGCUUCUCAUCUUGCAAAAAUAUACAAGGUCAGAAACCUGUAUCUUGUUUGGAGUACUGACGUGGAGAAAACCGAAGGAAGGUAUUUUCAGAUAAUAAGAAUUUGGGACCUAGUGUCACAGCAAAAUGUUGCCAGAACUGUUCAACGUCUCGAGAAUCUGUUUUCCAUGUACACAGAUGAUUACCUGGAUCAUUGCAGGAGAGUGCAGACACAGGGGAAACUGGAGGUUCCUAUGGUUUGGCAUAUUGAGCAUGAUAUUAUCCGCUAUAACAAGGAUUGCAAAGGUGAUGCUCAUGAGGAGCAUGAUCUCGUGGAUACAUCAUAUGCCAUGGAGAAUUCAAAAGUUAGCGAAAGCUUCUUGCUAAUGAAAUUCUACUCUUUAUCAUCUGGUGUGGCAAAGCAUUUGCUGACAGCUACUGAUGGAUCUGAAAUCGACAUCCCCUUUGAACUAACUGAUGAAGAGCAGGAGAUAAUCCAAUUCCCGCUCACUAGUUUUAUACUUGGGAGGUCAGGCACCGGAAAAACCACUGUAUUGACAAUGAAACUGAUUCAAAAAGAGCAACGGUCAUUGAUUGCCUCCCAAGGUCUACAUUUGGGAGAUGAUUUAUCAGGGCUGGAUCACAAAAAUAUUAUGCCACUGAAGGACGCAGGAGAAAGUUCUGUGAAACAAGUGUUUAUCACUGUAAGCCCAAAGUUGUGUUCAGCAAUAAAAAAUCACAUUUCUGGACUUAAAAGGUAA
rnacentral:rRNA from 1 species